rnacentral:rRNA from 1 species
GCUAAAUAUCUAGCUCAAACACCCAAAUUAUUACAACAACAUACAAAAUUUUACUAAACCAAGACCAUAAAAAUUAAAACAUUUUCCCACCCUAGUAUGAGUGACAGAAAAGGUCCCCUAAGCUAUAAUAGAGUACCGCAAGGGAAAGAUGAAAAAGAUAAUGAAACAAACCAUUAAAGCCUAAAAAAGCAGAGAUAAAACCUCGUACCUUUUGCAUCAUGAUUUAGCCAGCCACCCUGAGCAAAGAGUACUUUAGUUCACUACCCCGAAACUAAGUGAGCUACCCCGAGACAGCCUACUAUAAGGGCCAACCCAUCUCUGUAGCAAAAGAGUGGGAAGAUCUCCUGGUAGAGGUGACAAGCCUACCGAACUUAGUUAUAGCUGGUUGCCUAAGAAAUGAAUAAAAGUUCAGCCUCGCCCUCCUCUGCCCAUAAAAAAUUAUUAAUAUAUAAAGGACUAGAGAAACACGCAAGAGUUAGUCAGAGGGGGUACAGCCCCUCUGAAAAGGGACACAACCCUACCAGAAGGUUAAAGAUUAUACUAAAUAAGAUUACUGUUCCAGUGGGCCUAAAAGCAGCCACCACCAUAGAAAGCGUUAAAGCUCAAGCAGACUAAAAAUUUAUCAUCACAAUAAUUUAAUCCUAAACCCCUAAUCAUAUUAGGCCAUUCCAUGCAAACAUGGAAGAGAUACUGCUAAAAUGAGUAAUAAGAAGACACCACCUUCUCCAGACCCACGUGUAUGCUAGAACGGACUCACCACUAGCCAUUAACGAACCCACCCAAAGAGGGUAAUAUGACCAUAAAAAUAACCAAGAAAAAAUCAUAAGACAUUACCGUUAAACCCACACCGGAAGGUCCACAAGGAAAGACUAAAAGAAAAGGAAGGAACUCGGCAAACGCAAGCCUCGCCUGUUUACCAAAAACAUCGCCUCCCGCAAAAAAUACAUAGGAGGUCUUACCUGCCCAGUGACUACAAGUUAAACGGCCGCGGUAUUUUGACCGUGCAAAGGUAGCGCAAUCACUUGUCUUUUAAAUGAAGACCCGUAUGAAUGGUUAAACGAGGGCUUAACUGUCUCCCUCUUCUAGUCAAUGAAAUUGAUCUGCUCGUGCAGAAGCGAGCCUAUUAAUACAAGACGAGAAGACCCUUUGGAGCUUAAGAUAAAGACCAACUAUGUAUAAUAAAAACCUAAACCAAAUAGCUAUGGUCUCCAUCUUCGGUUGGGGCGACCGCGGGAGAAAACAAAGCUCCCAUGCGGACUGGGGCAACCCUAAAGCUAAGAAAGACAUCUCUAAGACACAGAACAUCUGACCAAAUUGAUCCGGCUACCAGCCGACCAACGAACCAAGUUACCCUAGGGAUAACAGCGCAAUCCCCUUUCAGAGGCCAUAUCGAGCAAGGGGGUUUACGA